rnacentral:lncRNA from 1 species
UGUAGUUGUGUGAAUGGUUUUUUGAUCUGGGAAGAUACGAUUGCUCACAAUGAGGCUGUUGAAAUUUGACUAGCACAUAAAUAUGACCUCAAUGAGACCUUGUAGUGGAUGUUGGCAAUAAUUGAUCCAUUGUAGAAGUAGGGUGUAUAUCUAAAUAGAAUCUAUUGAUCUUGAUAAAGAAUAGUCCUAUGAGAUUUGAGAGACUUCAUCUCAGAGUCUAUGGCUACAGUAAUGUGAUUGAUGAAAAAAAAUUUUAUAAGGAUCAUAAUUGAACUUGAGCUAAUCAAAUCUAUCAUAUGACUGAUGAUGAGAUUUGAUGAUUUAUCCAUAACCUGCCAUCU